rnacentral:rRNA from 1 species
GAGUUUGAUCGUGGCUCAGGAUGAACGCUGGCGGCGUGCCUAACACAUGCAAGUCGAACGGAUCCAUAUUGAGACCUAGUGAUGUAUGGAUUAGUGGCGGACGGGUGAGUAACGCGUGGAUAACCUGCCGUAUACAGGGGGAUAACACUUAGAAAUAGGUGCUAAUACCGCAUAAGCGCACGGUUCCGCAUGGAACAGUGUGAAAAACUCCGGUGGUAUACGAUGGAUCCGCGUCUGAUUAGCCAGUUGGCGGGGUAACGGCCCACCAAAGCGACGAUCAGUAGCCGGCCUGAGAGGGUGAACGGCCACAUUGGGACCGAGACACGGCCCAAACUCCUACGGGAGGCAGCAGUGGGAAUAUUGCGCAAUGGGGGAAACCCUGACGCAGCAACGCCGCGUGC